rnacentral:lncRNA from 1 species
CUGCCCCUCAUCAGCAUCCAGUUUUCACGCACACAGAGAGGAAAAGCAAGUAGCUUUAAAGAGGAGCUGGGGAUGUCACUCAGCAGUAUAGCGCUUGCCAAUCAUGCAUGAAGCCCUGCAUUCAAAGUGAACGGGCAAGCUCCUCCCCAGCCUCCAAUGCCCAGCUCCAGCUACUGCUCCAGGAUGCCAUCCUGGCCUGCACAGGCUUCACCAAACUCAUCCAGUCUGGGCAGCAGGCCUAUUUCUCCUGCCUUAUAUGGCGGCCAACUCAGCAGCCU